rnacentral:rRNA from 1 species
UACGGAGGGUGCAAGCGUUAUCCGGAUUCACUGGGUUUAAAGGGUGCGUAGGCGGAUAGGUAAGUCCGUGGUGAAAUCCUGCAGCUUAACUGCAGAACUGCCAUGGAUACUAUUUAUCUUGAAUGUCGUGGAGGUUAGCGGAAUAUGUCAUGUAGCGGUGAAAUGCUUAGAUAUGACAUAGAACACCCAUUGCGAAGGCAGCUAACUACUCGAUAAUUGACGCUGAUGCACGAAAAGCGUGGGGGAUCAAACAGG